UAGAAUUUUUUCUACAUUAUAAUGCAGAUGGAUCCGUUCUGAACGGAUUCCAUCAUCUGCAUUAUAUGAGCGGAUCCGCCUGGGCGGAUCCACUCUGAAUGCAAGUGUGAAAGUAGCCUUAAUUUUAAAGAAAGUGGUUUGGGUAAUAGACACUAGGGAGUUAAUAUUUUAGCUUGAGAGGACCUGUCUGCUUCCCUGACAUGUAUGUAUGUACUGAGCCACGUAGAGACACAUCUUAUUUUCAAUUCGAAAAGUAAAACAAGGUGUUAAUUUAGUCAUAUCUUCCCAGGAGGAAGAACAGAGAAGUGACACAAUGAAGAGUUCGAAUAAAAGGUCCUCUGGGAUUAUAAUUUAAUAGGAAUCUAUUUACUAAACACAGACAUAUCAGGAGAGCAGACAGGUCCUCAAUGCGGACCCAAUGCCGGAGCUUCAUGUUAAAAUGUCUCGCUUGAUACACCAUGGCGUCUAUUAAGAUCUGCUAGAAUCAGCAAGCUUGUGAUGGGAUAACACAUAUGACAAGUCUAGUGUGGUAAAAUAGACUACAGGGAUGAAUACUCUGCAAUUUUUUUCUUGUUUCGUGGAAUGCACUUUGUACGAGGGGGAAGAAAGAACCCCGAAGGGAGUUCUACAUGUACGGGUUAUAAAAUGAAAGCUGUGACUUCACUGAUUGCUAGGGGCAAUGCCCUGAUUUCUAUGUAAUGUCCAAUGUAUCAGCACCGUUUCACAAAGCAAAGAGAACGCGGAAGUGUCUGUAUAAUAAGUGUCAUGAUCAAUGCUGUAUAACUAUAUACGUAAUACUAAUAUUGAUGUGCCAUGUAAAAUGUAAUAUACCUUAAUCUUUUUAACUGAAAACUAUAUGCACAUCACGGAAUAUUAUAUAAUGCCCCUUCUUUUCUGCCGCACCAGUAAGCAUCGGUGAUAUGUUAUGCUUGGGCAUCACUCGCUGCAGUGAGGAUGAUUAUGUGAAAUUACCGCGUUCUUCCCUGUGUUCUUGUGUUCUUCCAUAGGACAUGAUCGGGAGACCAUCAGGAUUAAUUUGGAGGCACAGGCCAAAUUCCUUAGUCUAAGAAGGUGUCUAAUAAAAACCUAUACAAUUUUGCAAUGUAUUUUCUGUAACAAUAUAACUGUCACACAGUUUGUUUGUUUUUUGCUUUUUAGGCUCUUUCUGUUCUGUUUUUUUGUUGUGUUCUUAAAGGGGUUUUCCGAUUUUGCAUCAACAUCAUUUAUGAAGGUUCCAUCAUUGUAUACUUCCAAGGGAUACAAAUCUCUCCUUGCACAGCUCACUAAGGUACAACCACGUGGCACAAUAACAAUACAGAUCGAACAGUGCGGGCUCAUUAGUUGAAUGAGCGCCUGGGUCGCAAGUGCCACACAACCGCUCCGUGUGGUCGUGCCCUUAGAAGGCACAGCUCUGAUAGAUAGAUUGUAACUUGCUAACAAGCCGCACGCCUGUAUGAUCAUCACGUGACCAGGUCGUUUUGUCGUUUUUUAUGUGUCUGACAGCAAGCAGAGAACUUUAAACAGAAAAAUUGUGGAAAAGUGUAUAACUUUUCAUUAUACUAGAAAAUAACCUUUUUACCCCUAAAACUGGAACAGCCUUUUUUAUCCAGUCCAUGCAACAGCAAUUUAAAGGACGAUCCUUUCAAUCCUAUUUGCAUGUCCUGAUGCGGAAUAAAUAUUUGUGGCAAUUACCUGUCGUCAGUAUAUCAUUUCCGAUGGACAAUAAAUCCUAUAUGAGGGGCUAUUUUCUAUGGUGAACAUUUACACCUCACUCUGAUUAAUAUGAUACUGUAAUAUAUAUAUAUUUCCAUGUGUGAUCUUUGGGCAGAAAUAUGUACAAAUGGAAAAAAAAAAAAGCAAUCAUUCUCUUUGCACUAUGUUAGUCCAUCACACUUCUAUGGUUCUGUCCCUAUUAACACCUUGAAAUGUAAUUGUGUGGACUUAAUAAGUAUGCAUGAGAAUACGUAGUAUCACUAGUAACUUCUGACAUCACUGGGUCACUUUUUUAAGGUAGACAAUGUGGAGGCAGCCAUUUUUGUCAAACAACACUUGUGUCGCCACCUGAAAAGGGUUGAAUCUCGUCUCCAAUCUCUUUUCCUACUGCCAGAAUGGACUUUUCCCUAAUCUGCGUGCAUGGCAAAAAUCUCUCACACCUAAAACACGAAUCUGGAUAUGAGAUGCAUAACGGAGUCUCAUUACCUGUAGGUGUUGCUGCUAUGGCCUCUUUUAAGACUUAAAAUGUAUCCGUAAUGAACUAUAAUGAAUGUGGAUUUUUAAAGGACUAAUAUAAAGGACUAACAGCUCUCUGCACCUCUUAACCCUCUCACUGCCAGAUCAGCCUGCAGUGCAUUGCCAAAAGAUAUCUCCGUCGCAUGCAGAACCGUGUCUCUGGUCAGGCCCUGGCAUGUAGGGAGUUAAAUAGAAGCUUCCUGAUGGGAGUUACCUCUCCCUGAAGUGUUAUACCUCAGCCCCCUGAACUUUUAUGUAAUGUACGCAUAUACAUGCCUAUAUGUUUAUAUGGAUAUAUAUGUGUGUAUAUACACUGAGCCUGCACAACACUGUCUGUUUUUAUGGCACUGAAGGUCUAAUGUCUUCCCUCAAUGUCUGGUCCAGUAACACUGUGAGCUGGAGUGGUCUGCAGGUUGCUUUUCUUUAUGAUGUACCCAGUAAGGCAGGGAUGUGCUGCCCUGCUCAUUUGUGUACUGGAAUCCUUUUAGUGAUAAAACACAGCAUUUCUGUAAAGGCACAGUUCCUACAGCACUGUGAUGCCAACAGGGUGGCACACCAUAUAGGACUGGUCGCUGUGGCGUAAGGCACUAAGGUGCAUGUCACUCUACGGUACUCAGUAUGGUAUGCUAUUCUGCAUUUUUCAGUAUGACAUACUGCUCUGCAGUGUAAAUCGUAGCCUAAUGCUCUGCAGUAUUUAAAUGUAACUUAGUGCUCUGCAGUCCUGAGUGUAGUAUGAUGUUCUGCGUUGUUCAGUAUGGCAUACUGCUCUGCACUGCUCAUUGUCACAUAAUGCUCUGUGGCGCUUGGUGACAUGUUGCUCUGGAGUUUUUAAAGUGCACAACAUAAGAUACAGCUCUGCAGUGCUCAAUGGGCAGCAUACUGCUCUGCACAGCUGAGUAAAGGAUAUAUGUUGCUCUGCAGACCGCUCAGCUGCUCUCACAGUUCUUUGCCUAUUCCUGUCCUGUGUAAAUGAAUAAAAAUGUUUUUUUUCAUA